UAUUUUCAUUUUCGUCUUUUGCUCUCUCUCUUUUUUGCAGAGAGUUAACCCAAGUUUUCUCUCAGAAUCAAAACCAACCCAGAGAUCUCUUUAGAUUUACUAACCAUAUGAAAAAUCUAAUCAAAACCCACAAAUCUCGAUCUAUUUUCUAAAAAUCUGAAAAAAUUCCUAAACCUAGAAAAUCAAUUUUGUUCCUGAAAUCCAAAAUCAAUUCAUGUGAUAGUUGGUUGCUUUGUUGAUCAUCAUCAGGUAUAAACCAAUAUCUACUACUACUGUUGUUUAAUUUUGAUUUCGUUGGGUAUCUUUUGAUCUAUUAUUUGACCUAACUCUGUGAAGUUGGAGUCUUACUGCAUGUAUAGUUUUUGGUGUUCUUUUUUUACAUUAUGUAAUUUUAAAGCAUGGGGUGUAUUUAAAUUUCAGUUUAUUGAAGUUGUUUUGAUGUUUUUAAGUUACGGGAACCAUAGUACUGAUGUUCCAUUGACAGAUUAGAAAAGGUCGGAAGUAAACGGUGUAAAUGCUGAAAACAUCACAUUUCAUUUCACAGAAAGUAAAGAAAGGAGGGGGUCCCCAUUUUCAGUGGAUAUACGCUUUGAAUCUGGGUGGGUCCCUUCCUUGUCUUCCCAAACACAAUCAUAAUGGUGGUUCUCACUUUCGUUGUACAAUAAUGAAGAACUGGUAGGGCCAAUUAGCAGCUGAGCUUUGCAUGCUUUUGUGCACUCUUCUAAUUUACCUUUUCAUGCCUUUUUUCAGUAAGAACUGGUAUCACCAAUAAUACCAAACAAACAUUGCAUUCAUAGUCAGACCAAUUGCGGCCAAUUCAGAUUCACUGGUAUCCAUGUACAAUUUGGGUUAAGAAUUUGUACUCAAGGGAGUAUCUCCCUUUCAUUGGAGAUAGAAUUGUGUAUAUGUUCACCAGUAUCCAUCCAAAACUCCAAAAGCCUCUCUGGUUUUGUAUUUGGGCACCCUCACUUUAUUCUUACUUAGCUUACACUAGUUCUUACACUUUAUUCUGUGGGAGAUUAUGCUUGCAAAUUCUCUACUAGGGCAGAAGAUCUAAUCAGAAGUCAUGUUCCAGUUAACUUCGCUAAGUGGAGGACCGUGCCAGAUUAUUUUAAAGAUGAUGUUUGGGCAGCUUUGAUGGUAUUUCUACUAUUCUUGGAAUUGCCUUUUGUCAUAUAUAAGUUAGAAACAAAGGUUGCUUCUAUUCAUUGUAUCUUUGAAUCAAGAGAUCCAUGAGUAUUUAGUUCAAAUGGAUGCAAAGGUGAAUGCAGCUACCUUUUUACAGAAUAAUUGGGAUCUACUCCUGACUUAGUUUCUUGCAAAUAAAAAUUGGCGUGUAAAAUGUUGUUCGCCUAGAUGCAAGUAGUCUUGCAUGGACUUUUUAGCUGUGGUCUUGCAUAUAUCCUUCAAUUGGUAAGAGAUCUAUCAAAAUUUGGCUUCUUCAUCGAACGACACAAAGAAAAAAAAACACUUGCUAUUAUGCAAAAGUGUGUGUAAAUUGUCCUGUUUUAUGUCGUUCCGUUGUUUUUACAUACGUCAGUUUUCACUAAUUGAAAUGAAAUUGGUUGUCCACAGGACCACAGCCAGUAGAGCUUUGGACUGGGAAACAGCUGUUCAGCGUUCUAAUUCGCCCUCAUGCUCAGAUGAGGGUCUUUGUGAAUCUUACUGUUGCGAAGAAAUCUUACUAGCAGGGCAAAGAAACAUCAUGCUCUAAAGAAGGAUUUGUCUAUAUUUAGAAGAGUGAACUCAUUUGUGGGAAAGUUGGUAAAGCUACUUUAGGUGGGUUCCUUUACCUACUCAUAUCUAAAUUAUUGCAAAAUCUGCAUAUUUUGUUUCUUCUUUUUUAUUUGUCUUCUGCAAUAUUUAUCGUCAUGUGAUAUAUUGCAAGUGACAUAUUUAGUUUGGAUGGAUUAGGUUUCGUAUUGGUUUGUGUCAAGUAGCACUGUUAAGCAUUAAGGGAUUCUAUUUUAAGGAAUCAUGUUGUAUCAAAAGAUGUCACUGGCAUGAGAACUCCCACAUCUUACAGAGUUCCACCUAUUUAAAAUCUUAAAAUGGAGUUUCUGGUUAAACAAGUGACACGGAACACCUUCAACUAUGUCUGGGAUUGGUAGGUGGUGAUUGGGAGUACAUACAUCGGCUUAUAUUAGUUAUACCCACCAAAGUUAAGUAUUUCAACAGAUAAGCAAACCAUUUUACGGAGAUUAUCACUUUUAUAUACAAGCUUGGUCCUCCUUUGGAUUAAUUUCUUGAAUCAAUCAUUAUGUCCUGUGUAGUGUGUACCACACAUGUUGCCCGUUUGCUGUUCUUGAAUGGGCACUUUGAGAUCUUCUCUUCCUAUCGUGGGAUUGGAUGGAAAAGCUUAUGUCGUGCAACUAUGUUUUUGUUUUGUUGAUUUUCUAAACUUCCCAGGAUUUCUUUCCCUCUGAAUUCACCUCCAGGAAAUGGCGGAUUUUUUUUGUUCUUCUUAAAGAUUACAAUGUACAUAUUGCUGCUUGUAUGAACCUUCUAGCAAAGUUGAGUGCUCACUGGAUUGGGAACCAUGGGUUCUCGAUUGGUAUUGAUGAUAUCCAACCUUGAAAGUAUCUAAGUAAAGAAAUACAAGAUAGGAUCAAAAAGGAAAAACAAAUAAAUGAUGCACUUGUUCAGAAAUACAAAAAUGGGACACUUUAAAUUCAACCAGGUUGUGAUCUGUUCAAAUAUUGGAACUUGAGCUAACUUAUCUUCUGAAUGGCUUGAGAGAGAAAACUUGAAAGGUUUGUAUGGGAACCGAAGAAUAAAACAAAAUUGUAAGCGAAAAAAGUAAAACUACAUUGGUGAAACAUCCCUCUGAUUAUGUUGCAGUGCGGAUCCAAUGCGUCCCCCGAUAAUAUCAGUCAGAUCAUUGCAUGUGUUAGUCAGCAAUCAGUUGGGGGUCGCUCUGUAUUUUUCUUAAAAACCAUAUGUAAAGUAGGAUCUGCCUCUCUUUUUUAAUGUGGUUUUGAUCCCGGUCUCAUUUUUUGUUGUUGCUGGUGUAGGAUAUUGUUUUUGCUGAAUACUCACCCAAUAAGGCUUGGACUUGCUCUUAACUUCUCAGUGUUUUCCUAUGAAAUCCUGAAUUCACCAGAUCAUGAUUGCACUCUAGCUAAGCAGAUGUACGCAGUCGAUGAUGGAAGGCAAUUGCAGGUUAUGUUUCCAUAUAAGGUGCCAAUACCCUCCGGUUCUGUGUUAUCUUAUCUACCAUUAACACAUUGAAUUUUACCCAAAGACAAACAUUGUUUACCAAGAUUGAUAUUAAUGCUCUUCCAGCAUUGGUACUUCUCAUUAUACAAUAUAUGUAAACAACUGAAGGUAUUCUUAUGAACUAACUUUCAUAUUGCCAAAUUCAGAAACUUGGAUUCUUGACCAAAGUUCAUAUUUAUCUUUGAAUCAACCAAAUAAUUGUAUGGUUUAUUAUAGUUCAUCUGUUA